AAUUUCCACAGGAAAAGAAUAUGUGAUGUUGCAGAAGUACGUCACGUUGUGCUUUGACUACUUUUAAUAGCCAAUGUAUGUGUUUGUUCGGCGAUUUUGCACAUUGUUACUGGAAAUUUCUGCAUAAAAAUGAAUACAUGACAUCACGUUAUUCCCACUAUGACUGCUACAUCAUAUGAUUUUCUAUCAAACAUAAGCGUAUCAAUCAUUUGCAUCGUAUCAAGUGACUUAUAUUUCUGUUAAUUCUAGUAAUUGGAAUAAUGUAACGACAUAUUCUUUUCAUACGGAAAAUCAUGUUUAGUAGUAGGUUUUGAAAGAAAUGUGUCGAGAAAAUGACAAAAAAGU